UACGUAGGGGGCAAGCGUUGUCCGGAAUCAUUGGGCGUAAAGAGCGUGUAGGCGGCCCGGUAAGUCCGCUGUGAAAGUCCAGGGCUCAACCCUGGGAUGCCGGUGGAUACUGUCGGGCUCGAGUCCGGAAGAGGCGAGUGGAAUUCCUGGUGUAGCGGUGAAAUGCGCAGAUAUCAGGAGGAACACCGGUGGCGAAGGCGGGUCUCUGGACAGUUCCGUGACGUGAGGCACGAAGGCCAGGGGAGCAAACGGG
rnacentral:rRNA from 1 species